CCUACGGGAGGCAGCAGUAGGGAAUCUUUCACAAUGGGCGAAAGCCUGAUGGAGCAACGCCGCGUGCAGGAUGAAGGCCUUCGGGUUGUAAACUGCUUUUAUAAGCGAGAAAUAUGAUGGUAACUUAUGAAUAAGGAUCGGCUAACUACGUGCCAGCAGCCGCGGUCAUACGUAGGAUCCGAGCAUUAUCCGGAGUGACUGGGUGUAAAGAGUUGCGUAGGGGGCAUAAUAAGUAGCUAGUGAAAUCUGGUGGCUCAACCAUUCAGACUAUUAGCUAAACUGUUAAGCUCGAGACCGUUAGGGGUAACUGGAAUUUCUAGUGUAGGAGUGAAAUCCGUAGAUAUUAGAAGGAACACCAAUAGCGUAGGCAGGUUGCUGGGACGGUUCUGACACUAAGGCACGAAAGCGUAGGGAGCAAACGGGAUUAGAUACCCCAGUAGUC
rnacentral:rRNA from 1 species